UACUACCUUCGGUGGGGUGCCUAGUCUGCCUAAUACCUUAGUGGUAUGCUCGUGUGUUUGUUGCUGUUAGUGUUGUGGCAGCAGCAGCGGCAGACAUGCCAGUCCAUAUCCGAGGCGGUGGAAUAGUGCAUGAGCUUCUAUUAACAUCCAACUGCAGCUGUAUGUGCGCUGGGUGUCAUCCAUCCGUCCAUCUCUCUCUCUCUCUCUCUCUAGGUGUGUGUGUGUGUGUGUGUGUGUGCGCGUGUGAGAGAUAUAUAUAUAUAUGUGCGUGUGUAUAUGUGCAGUGCUGGGGUGUUGUGCUUUAGAGCGCGCGUGUGCGAGACAUAACACGUGUGUAUAGCCCUCUAUAUAUCUGUCUCUCUCACGCCCCUCUAUGUGUAGAGAUAUAUAUAUCACACACGCUCAUAUAUAUGUGCACACGUGCGCCACAUGGGUGCUGUGUGUCGUAUCAUAUCGAAGCGCGCUGUGUGACACGCGCGCGAGAG
rnacentral:misc_RNA from 1 species